rnacentral:piRNA from 1 species
GCCUUUUCCUUCAUGCAGAGUUUUGACAAU